rnacentral:rRNA from 1 species
AAUUCAUCUCCGGGGGUAGAGCACUGUUUCGGCAAGGGGGUCAUCCCGACUUACCAACCCGAUGCAAACUGCGAAUACCGGAGAAUGUUAUCACGGGAGACACACGGCGGGUGCUAACGUCCGUCGUGAAGAGGGAAACAACCCAGACCGCCAGCUAAGGUCCCAAAGUCAUGGUUAAGUGGGAAACGAUGUGGGAAGGCCCAGACAGCCAGGAUGUUGGCUUAGAAGCAGCCAUCAUUUAAAGAAAGCGUAAUAGCUCACUGGUCGAGUCGGCCUGCGCGGAAGAUGUAACGGGGCUAAACCAUGCACCGAAGCUGCGGCAGCGACGCUUAUGCGUUGUUGGGUAGGGGAGCGUUCUGUAAGCCUGUGAAGGUGUGCUGUGAGGCAUGCUGGAGGUAUCAGAAGUGCGAAUGCUGACAUAAGUAACGAUAAAGCGGGUGAAAAGCCCGCUCGCCGGAAGACCAAGGGUUCCUGUCCAACGUUAAUCGGGGCAGGGUGAGUCGACCCCUAAGGCGAGGCCGAAAGGCGUAGUCGAUGGGAAACAGGUUAAUAUUCCUGUACUUGGUGUUACUGCGAAGGGGGGACGGAGAAGGCUAUGUUGGCCGGGCGACGGUUGUCCCGGUUUAAGCGUGUAGGCUGGUUUUCCAGGCAAAUCCGGAAAAUCAAGGCUGAGGCGUGAUGACGAGGCACUACGGUGCUGAAGCAACAAAUGCCCUGCUUCCAGGAAAAGCCUCUAAGCAUCAGGUAACAUCAAAUCGUACCCCAAACCGACACAGGUGGUCAGGUAGAGAAUACCAAGGCGCUUGAGAGAACUCGGGUGAAGGAACUAGGCAAAAUGGUGCCGUAACUUCGGGAGAAGGCACGCUGAUAUGUAGGUGAAGUCCCUCGCGGAUGGAGCUGAAAUCAGUCGAAGAUACCAGCUGGCUGCAACUGUUUAUUAAAAACACAGCACUGUGCAAACACGAAAGUGGACGUAUACGGUGUGACGCCUGCCCGGUGCCGGAAGGUUAAUUGAUGGGGUCAGCGCAAGCGAAGCUCUUGAUCGAAGCCCCGGUAAACGGCGGCCGUAACUAUAACGGUCCUAAGGUAGCGAAAUUCCUUGUCGGGUAAGUUCCGACCUGCACGAAUGGCGUAAUGAUGGCCAGGCUGUCUCCACCCGAGACUCAGUGAAAUUGAACUCGCUGUGAAGAUGCAGUGUACCCGCGGCAAGACGGAAAGACCCCGUGAACCUUUACUAUAGCUUGACACUGAACAUUGAGCCUUGAUGUGUAGGAUAGGUGGGAGGCUUAGAAGUGUGGACGCCAGUCUGCAUGGAGCCGACCUUGAAAUACCACCCUUUAAUGUUUGAUGUUCUAACGUUGACCCGUAAUCCGGGUUGCGGACAGUGUCUGGUGGGUAGUUUGACUGGGGCGGUCUCCUCCUAAAGAGUAACGGAGGAGCACGAAGGUUGGCUAAUCCUGGUCGGACAUCAGGAGGUUAGUGCAAUGGCAUAAGCCAGCUUGACUGCGAGCGUGACGGCGCGAGCAGGUGCGAAAGCAGGUCAUAGUGAUCCGGUGGUUCUGAAUGGAAGGGCCAUCGCUCAACGGAUAAAAGGUACUCCGGGGAUAACAGGCUGAUACCGCCCAAGAGUUCAUAUCGACGGCGGUGUUUGGCACCUCGAUGUCGGCUCAUCACAUCCUGGGGCUGAAGUAGGUCCCAAGGGUAUGGCUGUUCGCCAUUUAAAGUGGUACGCGAGCUGGGUUUAGAACGUCGUGAGACAGUUCGGUCCCUAUCUGCCGUGGGCGCUGGAGAACUGAGGGGGGCUGCUCCUAGUACGAGAGGACCGGAGUGGACGCAUCACUGGUGUUCGGGUUGUCAUGCCAAUGGCACUGCCCGGUAGCUAAAUGCGGAAGAGAUAAGUGCUGAAAGCAUCUAAGCACGAAACUUGCC